rnacentral:lncRNA from 12 species
ACAUCAGGAAAAAAUUUACACAUUAUUGUCCUCUAUUAUUCUCCUUAUAUCCAGAAUUCUGAAAACAGACCAAUUGUCAAACUAACUACAAACUCUUGAUUCAAAAGGCCAAUUACAGAAAUGUUUUUUUUUUCUUUUUCUUUUGUCAGCCCUUGGUUUUGUGUGUAUAUUACAAACACUUGUCAAAACCUUGACUGAAUAGUUGAAAUUGAUCUGAAUAUUCAGAAUAAUGUUAUUCAUUCUGUUCUACAAAUUAUACUUACAUUUAAAUUUACUAUCUGUUGUUGUGUAAACAAGUGAACAAAUUAAAGCAUUCUCAUAUUCAGACAAGUUACAUUAGGACAAUAUAAAGAUACCUAAAGAUUGAAUCCUUGUGCUCACAUGCUAAUUCAUUAGUGCAUUAAUUAUUAAUUGGACUCUGAUCAUAGUUAAUCUUUCAGAGUUGAAUCAAAGAAGUCUGUGGAUUCUACACUGUGUCUGGGGCACGGUAUUGCUGACUAUGGCUGUGGUCUUCUCUGUUUGUUUAUGCCAAGACAAACAGAGUACUGCGACUGCAGAAAUGUCAUCUGUAAUGUUUUACCCUGUGGAUCCCAUCAAGUUAGGGCUUAAUUUAAGUCCAACAAAAAAAUAAAGGUAAAAAGAAAAUGUGAGUAUUCUUUUUAAUCAUACAAAUUAUGUGAAACAGUAUAUCAAUCCUUGCUCAGUAAUAAAUCCAUGUUUUUUUUUUUUUUUUUUGUUUUUUUUUAGAUCAUCUUUCCUCUUUUUCAAGGUGUUGCUGGAUAUCAGUGUUAUUGAAAGGAAUGUAAACAAAUGCUAAAGUAUGCCAAGCAAUUAAUACAAUUUCAAUUUAAUUAAACAUCCUCCUAAUGCUGUUUAUGAUGAUGGUAUACCAAUUCACGUACUUAUAUUUUAUUCUCAGAUUUUACUGCCUUCUGUGCCCUGCGAGUGAACAGGCAUCUUUCAAAUGAAUUAAUUUAGAGUUGUUCUUGAGUCAAAAUUAUAUAAAUAAUUUACUGUAUAUUUCUACUGUAUAUUUUUGUAAUGCAGGAAAUGGCCAAUCAUUAUGUAGGAUGAUAAUGAUAAUUUUGGAGUGGCACCCAAGGUGAACAACAACAACAAUAUGGGUACUGUUUCAUAAAACAAGUUUACCAGAUAAGCCAGGCUUAUUUCAGUUAGUCUGACUUUUUUUUUCACUUGAUUUGGUUUCAUAAAGCAAAUUUAUCAUAGCUCAAGCUCAGUCACUCUGGCAGCUUAUGCUGGGAAACAAACCUGGUCCGGAGCAGGCUAAGCUGAUUUCCUCUAACACUGACCUGUAGGAACACAAUGAUAUUACCACUGACUCUCUCACAUACAAUUAUCUGACUUUAUCAUCAGUCAAAAAUAAAAGUAUACGAAAGUGCAACUCAAAUAAUAAAUCAAAUAAAUAAAAAUAUAGGCUACAAUUGACUACAUUUAGGCUAAUGUAUUGUGUCCAAGAUUUAUAAUGUCAUUGUUUUAAGAUAUAUGAAAACAAUAAUAAUAAUAAAGAAGAAGAAAAAUCAAUAAAUCUAUCAUACAAUCCAAAAUCCUAUAAAAUGUAUGAUUUUUGUUGUUGUUGUUGUUGUUGUUGGAUUUAAACUAUUAUUAAAAUCAUAAUAUUUGGCUGUUUCAAAUUAGUUGUAACAUGUGCUAUUAAUUGCAGGGAUUUAUUAUAUUUGUAUAUUAUUGAAAAGCCUAACGAAUAGCUCUAAGUUGUGUGUUGUUCAUUUCCUUGUGUUCACCACACGAGGGCGCUUCACGAGCUCUGAGCUCCGGUUUCUUCAGCUCGGGGUUUCAGCCACAGCCCAGUUUUAGAAGAAAUCCUAUUAGAUUUUCCACUGUUGCCUGCUUUUGUCCUUUUGUAUACCUUUAUAAUCUUUGGACACAUUUUUUUUUUCUCUGUAGUAGGAAUUUUAAUUUACUUUUAAAUAGAAUAAUGAAGCAGGCCUAACUGUGCUUCGAUGUUAUUCCAUUUUUUUUUAAUUACUUUUUUUUUCUUUUUGUUUAUUCUAACUUCACAUUAAAAUCCUAAAAUACUUAUUGCAUGUCUUACAGUCAGUGUUGGGAAGGUUACUUUGGAAAUGUAAUAGGUUACAGAUUACAAGUUACCCUAUUUAAUAUGUUAUAAUAGUGUAACUUUUUCAAUUACUUUAUUAAAGUAAUGUAACUGAUUACUUUUGAUUACUUUUUGAUUACUUUUCUAAAUUUCUAAUGAAUGUUUAUUUUCAAAUGUUAAUCAUUUUCAAACAUUUACACCAUGCAGGGUUAACCUUACAGUACUGCUCAACACUGUCAGACUUUCACAAUCCUUCAUCACUUGAAUUAAGAUGAUCAAAUUUGAACACAUUCACCACAAAAACAGACUUUAGUACCACCUUUUACUUUGAGAACGAGCUGAAGUUCAAUGCAGAUUUAAAAUCAUAAAAAAUAGUUUACUGAUACUGUUUUUGAAACCAAAUCUUUGCAUAAGGAAACACUGCAUCUAACAAUGGUUUGGGGAAAAAAACUGUUAAUUAAAAAAUAUUAAUAAAUAAAAGAAUAUACAUCAGCUCAAAUAUGGUUAUCAAAUAAGCAUGUGUCCUAUUCUGUGUACUAAACUCCUGAAACAUUGGUGUCUUUCUGAAACAUUGCUGUCUCUUUGUAUAUGAUAUGACGAUAGUUUUCUCAAAAUAAGUGAAAUGCUCAUGAAGUGACUCAGAGCAGUUCUAGAGAUUAUGUUUAUGUGUUCAUGUACUCAUAUAUUGAGGCUGAAAACACUGCUAGCAUCAGUAGGCCUA